rnacentral:rRNA from 1 species
AUUGAACGCUGGCGGCAGGCCUAACACAUGCAAGUCGAACGAGUGGCGGACGGGUGAGUAAUGUCUGGGAAACUGCCUGAUGGCGGGGGUUAACUCCUGGAAACGGUAGCUAUUACCGCAUACCAUCAGAUGUUCCCAGAUGGGAUUAGCUUGUUGGUGGGGUAACGGCUGACCAAGGCGACGAUCCCUAGCUGGUCUGAGAGGAUGACCAGCCACACUGGAACUGAGACACGGUCCAGACGCCUACGGGAGGCAGCAGUGGGGAAUAUUGCACAAUGGGCGCAAGCCUGAUGGAGCAAUGCCGCGUGUGUGAAGAAGGCCUUCGGGUUGUAAAGUACUGUCAGCGGGGAGGCGGUACCCAAAGAAGAAGCACCGGCUAACUCCGUGCCAGCAGCCGCGGUAAUAC